rnacentral:rRNA from 1 species
UACGUAGGGGGCAAGCGUUGGCCGGAAUCAUUGGGCGUAAAGAGCGCGUAGGCGGUCCGGUAAGUCGGUUGUGAAAACUGGGGGCUCAACCCUCAGAGGCCGACCGAUACUGCUGGGCUAGAGUCCGGAAGAGGCGAGUGGAAUUCCUGGUGUAGCAGUGAAAUGCGCAGAUAUCAGGAGGAACACCAAUGGCGAAGGCAGCUCGCUGGGACGGUACUGACGCUGAGACGCGAAAGCGUGGGGAGCGAACAGG